AAACAGCCAGGAUUCAACAGUCUCUUGGGUCUCUUCCAGCCCUCAGUGCCUACAGUACUGACAUGGAUGUCAGUGUCUGGUCUGUCGCCACGCCUUUCUUCCAAGGACAGCACAUGACCUCCACACCAGGGGACAGAGAAACCACCUACGGCUCCAGAGGGACCCAGACCUUAGUUGGCAGCCAAAGAAUUGACCAAGCACAUCGUCUGGAAGCUUCUCACCACAUGGAGAAAGUUGGGCUAUGGAGUUAUCACAAAGCAGAGAUACGAAGUGAGUGGUCUGAGCAUCACCUCUUAUUCUGAGCUACGCUUUCAGCAUAUUUCAAAGACCUAGGGUAGAUCUAGUUCUACCACUUGCAGGUGAAGAGACACAUCACUAAAGGGAGAGCAAACAGUAUUCUCCCUAAAUUUCUGCCUCUAGAAAAGUCCAGUCCCAGAAGAAAACAUUUGAUUCAGCCUGAGGCUUCUAUUGAAUCACAUGAAAUGCCAAGUGAUGCUCACUAACUUCUCCAAACUUUCUAACAGUGGGUUGGAAACCAUAAAGUCGCUUUAGCGUGAAUAAACCACCAUCUGAAGUCCAA